rnacentral:lncRNA from 1 species
UAGUUGCAGUGGCCAGACAUGCGUUUAAUUUAUAGAUCCCUGUAUAUAGUUGUUGACAUAUGCACUAGACGCUAUAAUCACAUAGAACUCUAUGUAUCUCCCCACAGCCUGGGUAGCUACUGAAUGGUGGGGUCCAGCAAGGGCUAUUUGCUGGCCUUCAAACUGCACUUAGCCAGAAGGGCACAAACACAAGCUUUUUUUUUUUUUUCUUUUCCAUCACCCACUCUUUCACCUGUUCCCUUCCUGUUUCAGAAAGAUAAGUUCCUGACGUUCUUGCACAAGAGUAUAAUCAUUCUUAGACCCCUACCAUGGCCGUGGAAAAACCUUAGCAAUAGAGACUGUUUAGGGAGGGUGGGGAAUGUGCUGACCCCCUCCGGUUCUCAUCCUAGUGCUCCCACCAAAGUGGCUUCCUGUUGUAGCCUGAGUCUCUGGAUCCAUGCCAGGGGCGAUGGCAAGAAAGAGUAGAGCUGCUGUGUUUAGAUCAGUCCCUUCCCUCACAGAAUUCCUUUAGGAAGAGCAAGCCUUUUUAAGUACAGUGAUUGGCAAGUGUUUUCUCUCAUUCCUUUUCCGGCUCCUCAACUAUCUUACCGGUUCCAGAUCUUGUCUUAUUUCAUUUCUUGCCCUUCUAGAUCUUGUCUUACUCGUGUUUGCAUUUCCUAGUUUUUGAGCCUAACACAGCAGCUUGCCGUUAGAACCAAAUCAGUUGCAAAACCAGAGCUUUGAUGUGGUUCUGAGUUGCUUUAUAGGGUGAGAAAGAGCAGAAGGUAGAAUUCAAGUUCAGGAGUGUGCCUGGCUAGCCAGUGAAGAGACCAGCUCUUGGAAGAUUGAACUGGCAGCUCAUCUUUCUCAUUCCUUAUAAGCUUCCACUUAAAUGCAGCCAACGAUUUUCUAGAGGUGGUCUCACACACGCGCACACACACUCUCGGGGCAGCAGGAAUUAUUCUUCAGUUUGGAUUCCAUUUCCCCCUGCCACUUGCUGUUAGGCAGUUGAGUGUGGGUAGUGACAGCGAUCAAACCCCUUAGUGUUUCCUUUUUGGGAAAUAAGCAAUUUAAAAGAGAAACAAAAUAGGAAACUUGUAUACCUUAGUCCUGAAACUGUCUAUCCACUUUUCUGGCCUACCUUGUAGUCAGCUCUGAUUCAGGUUUACAGGACAAUAGUCUUGAUUUAAGCCAUGUCCUGACCUGGGCAAGAAAAUAGCAACUAAGCUGGCAGCCUCCCAGCAGGCUGCUAACACCCAAGGUGUCUGGGCUUGGAGAGUUCUUCACAGCUGAUGAGGACUUAAGUCAUUAGGAGGCCCAUGGGGACUUUUUAAAUUUUUGAUGAGAGACUGGGGGGAAGAAACAUAAAAUGCCACUUUGUAUCUUCAAUGAUAGCCUGUCAUUUAUAUUUAUGGUGUGAAUUUUUAGUCCUAUAUUUUAAUAAUUUGUAAAUUGAUCUCUUAUUCCAAGAACCCUCUGGACUCGUGGGAGAGUGUCUGGGAGUCCACUCCUCUUCCCCUCCUGACCCUGCUUUAUGGACUGUUUAAAUCCACUUUGGAUCAAAGAGUUCAGCAAGACCACUCGUGGUCCAGCUGGCCUCCUGACUCUAUAAGCCUUCACUGGAAUCGGGACAUUUUCUCCAGCCCUAGCUGUGAACAUGACCAGAGACAUUAUUUAUAAUUCAGCCAUUCAAGAUAUACCUGUACUUUAAAAGUCCUGUAUAUUUUUUAAAAGUUUUAUUUUUCAGGUGAACAGAAAUACAUUCUAAGAACUCUGCC